UGGGGAAUAUUGCACAAUGGGGGAAACCCUGAUACAGCGACGCCGCGUGGAGGAAGAAGGUCUUCGGAUUGUAAACUCCUGUUGUUGGGGAAGAUAAUGACGGUACCCAACAAGGAAGUGACGGCUAACUACGUGCCAGCAGCCGCGGUAAAACGUAGGUCACAAGCGUUGUCCGGAAUUACUGGGUGUAAAGGGAGCGCAGGCGGGAAGACAAGUUGGAAGUGAAAUCUAUGGGCUCAACCCAUAAACUGCUUUCAAAACUGUUUUUCUUGAGUAGUGCAGAGGUAGGCGGAAUUCCCGGUGUAGCGGUGGAAUGCGUAGAUAUCGGGAGGAACACCAGUGGCGAAGGCGGCCUACUGGGCACCAACUGACGCUGAGGCUCGAAAGUGUGGGUAGCAAACAGGAUUAGAUACCCUGGUAGUCCACACCGUAAACGAUGAUUACUAGGUGUUGGAGGAUUGACCCCUUCAGUGCCGCAGUUAACACAAUAAGUAAUCCACCUGGGGAGUACGACCGCAAGGUUGAAACUCAAAGGAAUUGACGGGGGCCCGCACAAGCAGUGGAGUAUGUGGUUUAAUUCGACGCAACGCGAAGAACCUUACCAAGUCUUGACAUCCUGCGACGAUGCUGGAAACAGUAUUUUCCUUCGGGACGCAGAGACAGGUGGUGCAUGGUUGUCGUCAGCUCGUGUCGUGAGAUGUUGGGUUAAGUCCCGCAACGAGCGCAACCCUUACUGUCAGUUACUACGCAAGAGGACUCUGGCAGGACUGCCGUUGACAAAACGGAGGAAGGUGGGGAUGACGUCAAAUCAUCAUGCCCUUUAUGACUUGGGCUACACACGUACUACAAUGGCGUUAAACAAAGAGAAGCAAGACCGCGAGGUGGAGCAAAACUCAGAAACAACGUCCCAGUUCGGACUGCAGGCUGCAACUCGCCUGCACGAAGUCGGAAUUGCUAGUAAUCGUGGAUCAGCAUGCCACGGUGAAUACGUUCCC
rnacentral:rRNA from 1 species